CACACAUUUAAUAACAAAAUUAAAGAGAAUUAAAUGUAUGCUGCGAGUAUCGGUAGCGAUAAAAAAAGAUUUUUCUAAUGUCCAUCCCUAAAGAGAGACGUCAUACAGGCAACUGUCAUCCGCACCAUGCUACAGCGCACUAGGUAUAGGCAAAAGGAAAGAGGACCUAAUAAAAUAAAUCAUGUACUUAUUAUUCGUGUGGCCAAAUCAUUACCUCCUUAAUUAACCUAAGUAUACCAUAUACGUAGCAGCAAUAUGAUAUAUAAGCGUCAAAAUACUGUCAAGCUAUAUAGUUGCACACAGCGAACUGAACUUAGCACACGUUAAGAUGUCGUCGACCGUUGUCGUAGCGUUUCUUCUGAUCGCUCUAAUUUACAGUAUUUUAGCUAUUCCUAUAAAAAAAGAAGAAAUAGAUACGAAAAAUAAUGUAGUUUCGUUUAAUUCAGUGUUGAGUUCUAAAAGUGGUUUACAGAAAAGUGAAAUUGUUUUACCUAUUCAAAGUGACAACGGGGGCUCAAAAAUGUUAAGAAGAAUUAAGAGAGGUGUUAUUCAAAACAUUUAUCUUUGUCCUUCCGACUUAAUUUAUUAUCAAAAGCAGUGCUUCACUCCGAAACAAUACGAAUUUGUCAAGAAGUUUGCUGACUCCGCCGAAGUUAUUUAAUAUCGACUCGACACGACAUCAACGCUUCGAGGAUACGUCCGACGAUACGACCUGCCAAUAAGGAACAACGAUACAUUCGAAAACAAACAAUCUAUAUUAUAUGACUACCAAAAUAUAAAUUAUUAUACUUAAAUUGUUACAUAAAUGUAGAUUUCCGAGUAAUUCAAAGUAUUAUUGAAUAUUUUCGACUUUUCGAAAAUAAUUUCAGUAAUACACGGGGGGAAUUAUGCCAGGCAAAUGGCAUAGCCUUCAUUACUAUGUGACGAAUAUCCUUGCCGAAUUGCCGCCAUGAGAUUUAGAGGCGUGCUUGCUUACGUCUUCAGCUUGGUGCGUGGUGAGACGAGCUCCGGCGCGAUCUCAUGGCGGAACGGCAGCAACGACUGUCGAAAACGAGGGCUGGGCUCGCUGUCAUUGCAGCGGUAAGUCCCAUUUCUGUGUAAACCUCUAUGUACCUUGACCACAGAAGAGUUGUAAUGUUGUAGGUUGUCUACAAAUGCUACAUCAAUACAAGUAUACAGCUCUACACUAUUCCACUUAACAACAAUACAGCUCUUCUGUAAUCAAGGAACAUGUAGCUGUUCACACAGAAUUUAAUACGUGAUUAAUUUAAUUUAAAGAUUUUUUUUUAUUUUGUUGUUUUAUGCUUUUGUAGACGAGUAAUCUUGUAGUUUUAUUUAAGUCAUAUGAGUGAUCUCCAUACUGUAUAAUUGUUUACAUAAUAUAUGUCUAGGUAUGUAUGUCCCAUAUUUAUUUGUCCAGUGUUUCUUGUGUAUUCUAUAUAUUGUAAUAUUUACUGUAUGUUUUAUAUGUUAUGUAUGGAUAUAAUAAUUAAUUAAUUAUUGUUAAAAGAUUUUAACUAAAUCUCAAACUUUUA